AGUGAACGCUGGCGGUAGGCCUAACACAUGCAAGUCGAACGGCAGCACAGUAAGAGCUUGCUCUUACGGGUGGCGAGUGGCGGACGGGUGAGGCAUACAUCGGAAUCUACUUUUUCGUGGGGGAUAACGUAGGGAAACUUACGCUAAUACCGCAUACGACCUACGGGUGAAAGCAGGGGCUCUUCGGACCUUGCGCGAUUGAAUGAGCCGAUGUCGGAUUAGCUAGUUGGCGGGGUAAAGGCCCACCAAGGCGACGAUCCGUAGCUGGACUGCGAGGAUGAUCACCCACACUGGAACUGAGACACGGUCCAGACUCCUACGGGAGGCAGCAGUGGGGAAUAUUGGACAAUGGGCGCAAGCCUGAUCCAGCCAUACCGCGUGGGUGAAGAAGGCCUUCGGGUUGUAAAGCCCUUUUGUUGGGAAAGAAAAGCAGCAGGUUAAUACCCCGCUGUUCUGACGGUACCCAAAGAAUAAGCACCGGCUAACUUCGUG
rnacentral:rRNA from 1 species